UCUCACUCGCUUGGAGUAGCUGCCGCUGUUCGCUGUUCUCUGUUCCUGAGCUGAGACCAGGGCGCGCCCUGCUUUCCUCCUUCCCUCGGUUGCUGGCAGCCCUGUGCACCUUACGGAGGCUGAAUGACGGGCCUGUGUAGGGCCAGCAGCUGCUUGGGACUCUCCGGGAGCUGAGCCCCUGCCAAAAAGAGAUUGGCAGCGGGGCACCCUCAGUCAAGGCUUGUGGACCUCCAGGGACGGCCCCGCCCCCCGGAGGGGACAGCUCGGGGGGCCAUGUCGGCCAACUUGAGCCACAACAUUCUAAGCAACUCCACUCAGAGGGGUGAAGCCUGGAUGGUGGGCUUGGGCAUUGUCAUGUCUACCAUAGUCCUGGCCACUGUCUUUGGCAAUGUGCUGGUUAUCACAGCUAUCGCCAGGUUCCAGCGUUUGCAGACUGUCACUAACUACUUCAUCACAUCACUGGCUUGUGCUGACCUGGUUAUGGGACUGGCUGUGGUACCCUUUGGUGCCAGUCAUAUCCUCAUGGACAUGUGGACCUUUGGGAACUUUUGGUGUGAGUUCUGGACCUCCAUUGAUGUUCUGUGUGUCACAGCCAGCAUCGAGACCCUCUGUGUUAUUGCUGUGGACCGCUACUUCGCCAUCACAGCCCCGUUUCGGUACCAGAGCCUGCUCACCAAGGGCAAGGCCAGAGUGGUCAUCCUAGUGGUCUGGGUGGUAUCGGCCCUCACCUCCUUCCUGCCCAUUCAGAUGCACUGGUAUCGUGCUAGCCACAAGGAAGCUCUUUUGUGUUAUGAGAAGGAGACCUGCUGUGACUUCUUCACUAACCAGGCUUAUGCCAUUGCUUCCUCUAUCGUGUCCUUCUACGUGCCUCUGGUGAUCAUGGUGUUUGUGUACUCCCGGGUCUUUCAGGUGGCCAAGAAGCAACUUCAGAAGAUAGAUAAAUCUGAGGGCCGCUUUCACGUUCAGAACAGCAGCCAGAUGGAGCAGAAUGGAAGGACAAGUCACCGAAGGUCUUCCAAGUUCUGUUUGAAGGAGCAUAAAGCUCUUAAGACCUUGGGUAUCAUCAUGGGGACCUUUACUCUCUGUUGGCUGCCUUUUUUCAUUGUUAACAUCGUCCACGUGAUACAGGACAACAUUGUCCCCAAAUAUGUGUACAUUUUCCUGAACUGGGUAGGCUAUGCCAACUCAGCCUUCAACCCGCUGAUCUACUGCCGGAGCCCAGACUUCAGGUAUGCCUUUCAGGAACUCCUUUGUUUCAGGAGGUCAGCCCUGAAGCUCUAUGGCAAUGGCUAUUCCAGCAACAGCAAUGGGAGGAGUGAGCACAAUGGGGAGCAUGGGAGCUAUCCCACUGAGCAGGAGAAGGACAUCGAGCUGCUGUACGAAGACCUCCCAGGCACUGAGGGCUUUUUGAACUGUGCAGGUACUGUGCCUAAUGCUAGCGCCGACUUAGAGGGCCAGGAUCAGACUCUGGAUGAUACCCCCUUGUGACUGUCCCUCUGGUUGGUAAAAACCCUCAGCAAAUCAAGCAAGGUUGGGAAAAAGAAUAAAAAAACAAUUUUUAAAAGAACAACCACCACAAAAAAUCCCCCAACAACAACAACCCAUGGCAAACCCCCAAACACUAAGCCUACUCUUUAACUCAUGAGCUAGAAAUGUCUAGUCAGCCUGUGGAGAGAUGGGCAGGAGGGAGGACAGUCAGACUAUUUAUUGAUUUUAAGUUAUCAGGAAACAAAACAACUUACCCACUGGUUCUAGGGAUUCCUCAUUUCUGUAACAGUUGGGUUCUGCCCAGAAUGGAGUUUGGAAGUGUAUAUUCUACUUCAAGGGUCUCAGGCCUUGAGGACCUGGUUCUGGUUUGGAUGGUUUUUUUCAUAGAUCUACCUCAUUUGUCAAGUAUUAGGGUUAGCAUACUUCUACUUGGGACUUCUAUCUGGAGGAGCAGGCCUUCCCCCUGGGCCUCUUGGAUGCUCCAGCUGGACCUGGCUGUCAAUGUGGAUUCGUCUCCUCCUCUUAUUUGCUCACAUGGGCUGUUGGAGGCAGGGACACAGAGGGGGCAGCUUCUGCUGUUGAAUGAGCAAAGUCUAAAGUUUACAGUAAAUAAAUUGUUUUGCUGUGACAUCAUUGCACCUGUUUGUCCAAAACCCCCAGCGGAACAUUCUUGUUGGAAACCACAGAGAGCCCAGACCAUCCUGGGACAGUUGAAAGCUGAAUGAGCUGUAUUUUCUCCUGUUUUCCUGGGAGGGCAAGCGUUGACCCUGGGGACUGCUACCUCGUGGUGCUGCCUGCCUCCAGGUACGUGCCUGCAGUGACUUCCUUUCUGCUACUGGAAAGAUGACGGAGAAGCUCAGGAUCUGAAGGCAAAGGAGCAGUGAGCCAUGGAAGGAGAUAAUCUGGAAGGAAGAUGCCGGUCAAGAGCCAGGAGAUGAGGGUGAACCAGGAAACUGCAAGCUGCUGCAGCCAGAGAUCUCCAAACACCAAGGUCUCUAGGAAGGAGAAGAGGGCUAGUGUGGGCUUCCCUGGCCCACCUAACCCGAGGACAGGGACAUGACGCCUCGACACUCCAGGGAUUUUCUUUCUUUAUUAUUAACAAGUUCAUGGGAGUCAGCUUGAACUGGCCUCAUAAUGGGACUCAGGGGACAGCAGGACCCAGAUGGGCUGUGUUGUCAAGUUUGAAAAAAAUAAUCAUUUUAACAUAAA